CUGAUGCUCUCUCAGUAAAGUUGCAACAGCUGAAGACACUCUCUCUGUGUCUGUGUCUGUGUUUGACAUCCCGUCUCCGCUCCACGCGUGUCCUCAACAGGGGUCCCUCCGCGGAUCCUUGGAACCUCCAAGAUUGCCGACCGCGGAAGCUGGCGCCCGAACAGGGACCCCCGACACGUGCAUGCUGUUGUCUUCUUGUGCUUUUCCUGUUUGUCUUAUAUCCUCUUGCUUUAGAUCUGCAAUCACUACAGGAGCGGAACGGAUUCACCGAAGGGAACUGCAGUCCCGCCUACGGAGAAGAGGAUGCCGAAUCACCAAUUUGAGUCCCAGACAGACUCAUCAGGCCAGCCAAAGGAAACGGACAUCCGUCCCCCACCCCGAAAGAGGCCGAACCGCCGGAUAAUGUGGAACCUGGCCAAAAAGAUCAAGGCGACUCGCCUGGAGCCGAAAAUGAAACCACGCCAGACGCCGACGUGGACACAGCUUAAAACCCUGACAGCUCAGGCAAAGGAAGUAUUGAAGGCUACACAUGCCCCGGAAACGGCAACCUUGCUGUUUGUGGCUAUGCUUGCAGUCAUGAGUGCGCCCACCGCUUUAGGGGAAAGUUAUUGGGCUUACUUACCAAAGCCACCCAUAUUACAUCCUGUAAGGUGAUAGGUGUCGGAUCACAUC
rnacentral:lncRNA from 1 species